UGGCGGUAUUUUAUUCUUUUUAGAGGAAUCUGUCCCAUAAUUGACAAUCCACGAUUAAAUUUACUUUAUAAAAUGCUUAUAUAUCGCUGUCGCCAGAAUAGAUUAUAAAGAGAUUUUUUCUUAAUUUUUUAAGAAUUGUAUGUCAAGUCAAGGUGUAGUUAAUUAUAAAGAGGAGAUGGAUUACAUUAAUUUAUAUUUACGAAAUAAAUAGAUUUAAAAUCUUUAUGAAAUUGGAUUUAAAAGUAAAUAUUAUUUAUAUAGUUGUUGAUAUAAGUUCUAAAAU
rnacentral:rRNA from 1 species